rnacentral:rRNA from 1 species
UACGGGGGGGGCAAGCGUUGUUCGGAAUUACUGGGCGUAAAGGGCGCGUAGGCGGCUAGAUAAGUCGGGGGUGAAAGCCUGUGGCUCAACCACAGAAUUGCCUUCGAUACUGUCUGGCUUGAGACCGGAAGAGGUUAGUGGAACUGCGAGUGUAGAGGUGAAAUUCGUAGAUAUUCGCAAGAACACCAGUGGCGAAGGCGGCUGACUGGUCCGGUUCUGACGCUGAGGCGCGAAAGCGUGGGGAGCAAACAGG